CGGACGGAUGUCCCGCCCUUUCCUGUUUGGCCCAGGGCGGGUGGUGGAGUUGAAGUUGGAUAAGUAGUGUGCUUACCAGGUUGGUCUGUCCCUUUGCCAGUUAAUUGAGCACGCACACCUGAAGGAAAGUUGAAAUGCUUUUACUGGGAAUCCUGUGUUUUACUGAUCAAGUUGCACAAGCACAUGUAAUGUCUGAUAUGUAACCUUUCCUGCUUUCACUGAAUCCUCCUGUGGCCUCUAAAGAGAAUUGAGUUGUACCCAGCUUCCCCACCCCACCCAGAUUCCUAACAACUUCUCUGGUAAGAUUGGACUUUCACUAAAAGAUGAGACUAUCUUUAAGGAGCUUCUGCUUUAUGCCUAGCAAAAUAAACCACUCCUGUGACCAGCAAGCACUAUGAACCAGCAACCAUCAACAGAAGAUGAGGAAGGAAGGAAAAUUACAGCAAAAACAAAAUAUACUCUAAUGGCUCAACAAAUUAUCCUGCCAUGGGAGCUGGAAGUGAAGACAAUUCUUUCGCUAGUAAUCUCCCUAAAGAAGCCACAGGCAUUCUUUCUGCCUCUUAAGCACCUUCAAACUGCAUUUAAAAUUAGGUUGUGCUUCUGGAAAUCUUUCUUUUGCUAAUUUGUUGUACAUGAAUGCCUGCAGAAGCCUUUGGAUGGUAAAUGCUGUGGGAGGGGCAGUUUCCAUGGUGACUGUCUAAGGUACCCUUUUUCUUGCACUUCAAUUACAUCUUCAUUGCUGAGCUGUUGUGAAUGAGAAGGUAAGGACUCAGUCACAUCUGAAAGCUGGAGACUGAGACGUGGUACUAAAUGCAGCUGCAUUCUGAACCCGCUGAGUUGUACUAUACUUGUCUUGAACCUCCUCUUCAAGGUUGCCCCUGCCCGUUAUGGGAAAAUACAUUUGCAACACACAGGACAAAGGGCCAAUUUCCUUAACAAUACAAAGAGCGCUUACAAGCUGAUAUGAAAACUACCAAAAAACGUAAUAGAAAAAAAUGAGCAAAGGGGGCCAGGGAUUUAGCUCAGUUGUU